UUGGGGUAAAAAGGGGAAAAGGACGUUUUCCCCGGAUAAACUUUUUUUGGGGUUGUAAAAACUUUUGGUCCUUUGAAUUUUUGAAUGGGGGAAAACCCGGCCCUUCGGGGUCAAAUUUUAAACAAGGCCUAAAUUAAACAAAACCCGGGAAAAUGGGAAACACAAAAACCAGAGGAAAGGGGCAUUUUGAGACUCCGUUAGUAGUGGCGAAGGGGAACGCGGACCAGGCCAAUGUUUUUUUAUAAUCAAAAAAUAAAAAAAACCCCCUGGAAAAUUUUGGGGCCCUGGUAGGUGAUAGCCCUGUACCAUUUGAUUAUCUUAAAAAAAUUUGGUGGACGGGCGACGGAAAACUUUUCUCCGGAAAAGGGGAAACCCUCCCAAACCUAAGUACUCUUUAGCGACCGAUAGUGAACCCGGACCGUGGGGGGAAAGGUGAAAAAAACCCGACGGGGAGGGGGAAAGGAAACCGAAAAUUUUGGCACAAUCAGGGCGGGCCCCAAAGGGGACGGCGUACCUUUUGAUAAUGGGUUCAGCGAAAUUUUUUUCAAACAAACAAACCGAUGGGUAAAAGGGGUGGAAAACGAUCUUAAUAAGGGAAAGAAAGUUUGGUGGAAAUUAAAAACCCGGCCGGUAUCUGUAUGAGCAGGUUGAAGGUGCAGUAACAUUUCCCGGGGGAAGAACCCCCUUUAUUUGAAAAAUAGGGGUGACCUUUUGGGUGGGGUGAAAACCCAAAACAAAAACGGGAAUUUUGGCUCCAAGAAAUCUAUUGGGGGGCGUAUGGGGGUCCAUCAGGGUAAGCACUGGAUGGGCUGGGGGGCCCCCUCACCCCAAACCCCCCCCAAACUCCGAAAACCAUUUGGGAAUGCAUGGGAGGCACACUAUGGGUGCUAAGGUCCAUAGUGGAGAGGAAAACAAAAACCCUCCCCAGUUAAAGGGGAAAAACAUUCUAAAAAAUUGAAAAGGAUGUAAAAAACGCCCAAAACCCGCCCGGAGGUUGGGGAAAACAACCAUCCUUUAAAGAAAAAAUAAAAGCUCCUUUGGCCCCCAAAAUUUCCCGUGCCCAAAAUGUAACGGGGAUCAAACAAUGUACCCCAAACUGCGGGUGGGUUUUAUAGCGCGGGCGGGGCGUUCCGUAAGCCUGGAAAGGGUAACCGUGAGGUUAUUUGGAAGUAUCGGGAAAAGGGGGGAAAAACUACAUGAUAAAUAAAAAAAGGGUAGCCCUCUUAAAAAUCAAGGGGUUCCGAAAUUAAUCUGGCAGGGGUUUCCCGGCCCCCAAAGCAGGGGGAAAAAACCUUUUUGUGGAUGGGGAAUGGGGGGUUUAUUCCCUCAGCCAGUGGGUAGUGACGGAUUUGGUAACCCUUUUUUUUUCUUUUUGGAGAGAAUGGGGAACAAGUUCCAGGGAAAAGCUCCCAAAAAAUGCUUUCCCCAAAACGAAGACAGGUGGACGAAAAAGAGAAUCUAAAAGGGGCUUGGGGAACUAUGUUUUAAGGAACUCGGCAAAAUUUCCUCCAACUUCGGGAGAAGGAGGCCCGGUCUUAAGGCAACUUUUGGUCGGGGGCCCAAAAAUUUGGGGGGGGCGACUGUUUCUAAAAACACCCGGACCUUCCCGCGAAGCCGUAAGGCGGCAGUAUAGGGUCUGACGCCUGCCCCGGGGCUGGAAGGUUAAGAAAGGGGGGGAGUGCAAGCUCCGGAAUUUAAACCCCAAACGGCGGCCGUAACUAUAACGGGCCCAAGGUGGGGAAAUUCCUUGUCGGGUAAAAAUUCCGGCCUGCAAAAUGGGGUCACGACUUCCCCCCUGUCUCCAACAUAGACUCAGUGGUUUAAUUUCCCCUGAAGAUGCGGGAUAACUGCGGUUAAAACGGAAAGACCCCGUGCACCUUUUCUAACUUUGCAGUGAAUUGUUUCAUUUUAGGAUAGGGGGGAAACUUUUUUGGGUUGGCCUUUUUAAAUUUUUUGGAGCCCCUCCCUUGAAAUACCACCCUUUUCCUUAUUGAUAUCUAACCCGGGGGGGAAAAAACCCGGGUCCGGGGCCCUUGGGGGGUAGUUUGCUGGGGGGGUCGCCUCCCCAAAAAAGUAACGGGAGGCGCGCGAAGGGAAAGGGUCCGGCCGGUCAAAUCGGUCGUUGAGGGGAAGGCCAAAACCGCCCGACCGGGGAAAACCCCCCCGGGAAAGGGGGCAAAAAAUCGGUCCCAAAUGAUCCCGGGGGUCCCGCGUGGAAAGGGGCCCUCCCAACGGGUAAAGGGCGCCGGGGAUAACAGGCUGGUGACCCCCCAAAAGUUCAUAUCGACGGGGGUUUUUUGGCCCCCUCGAUGUCGGCUCAUCGCAUCCUGGGGCUGGAGCAGGUCCCAAGGGUUUGGCUGUUCGCCAAUUAAAGCGGUACGUGAGCUGGGUUUAGAACGUCGUGAACAGUUCAUUAUCUGCCUGGUUGUGGAGGGGAGGGAUUUCCCCUGUCGAGAGGCCGGGGUAACGUACCUCUUUGGACCUUUUUCGCCCAGCCCCCAACGAGUACUAAGUAGGGACAGGAAAACCCCUUUGAAAGCAUCUAACCCCGGGGCCCUCCUCAAAACUAGUUCUCCAUGGGGUCGGGGAAGACUCCCCGUUGAUAGGCCAGGUGUGGAAUGGGGAACGUAUGAACUAACUGGUUAAUAACUCGUUGACUUA
rnacentral:rRNA from 1 species